UGAAAUGCGAAAAGUAAUGCGAUUUGCAUGAAUCUGUGAGUCAUCAAGUCUUUGAACGCACCUUGCACCGUAUGAGCUAAUUGUACGGUAUACCUGUUUGAGAAUCGUAAAACCCCCUCUUCAACUCUCUCUCUCUCGAGGGUCUUGAAGGAUGUGUCGGUUGUGCGGGGGCUUCUCGCACUCUGAUCAAAUAGAGUAGGUUUGGAUCAGGCUGGUGGCCUGGGACACUGUGUGCUAGAGACUAAACAGUUUCGACUGUCCUGUCUUCUCACGGUGCGUCCCAUGGUCAUUCCAAAGCUGGCCUGUUUGUCCGACCCUUUAACUGCGCCAAGGUUCGUCCUUGGGCAACCCCACUCUUUGAUCUCAAAUCAGGUAAGGCUACCCGCUGAACUUAA
rnacentral:misc_RNA from 1 species